AGAGUUAAACAGUACGUGAAAUUGUUGAAAGGGAAACGAUUGAAGCCAGUCGUACCUUCGGGUAAUCAGCCUUUCGGGUGCGAUUCUGUGGGGUGUGAAGAGUUAAACGCCUUCACGUUUUGCAUAUUCGUGCUCUUGGGUGUACUUGCCCGUGUGGUUGGUUAACAUCAAUUUUGGACGCCAUAAAAUGGCUGGAGGAAUGUAGCUUCGAUCUCGUAUUGAAGUGUUAUAGCCUUCGGUAGAUGUGGUUUUCGAGAUUGAGGAUUGCAACGGAUACCCUUCGGGGCUACCUAUCUGAUCUCUGAUCGUUGCUCUGGUGCCGAAAGCUUGCUUACGGUUAUCAAAGUCGAUGGUCAAUAUGUUAGAAUGGGUUAAAUUCGUUAAGGAUGUUGACGUAAUGGCUUUAAACGACC
rnacentral:ncRNA from 2 species